ACGUCUGAUGGAGCACGCCGCGUGAGUGAAGAAGGGUUUCGGCUCGUAAAACUCUGUUGUUAAAGAAGAACAUAUCUGAGAGUAACUGUUCAGGUAUUGACGGUAUUUAACCAGAAAGCCACGGCUAACUACGUGCCAGCAGCCGCGGUAAUACGUAGGUGGCAAGCGUUGUCCGGAUUUAUUGGGCGUAAAGCGAGCGCAGGCGGUUUUUUAAGUCUGAUGUGAAAGCCUUCGGCUCAACCGAAGAAGUGCAUCGGAAACUGGGAAACUUGAGUGCAGAAGAGGACAGUGGAACUCCAUGUGUAGCGGUGAAAUGCGUAGAUAUAUGGAAGAACACCAGUGGCGAAGGCGGCUGUCUGGUCUGUAACUGACGCUGAGGCUCGAAAGUAUGGGUAGCAAACAGGAUUAGAUACCCUGGUAGUCCAUACCGUAAACGAUGAAUGCUAAGUGUUGGAGGGUUUCCGCCCUUCAGUGCUGCAGCUAACGCAUUAAGCAUUCCGCCUGGGGAGUACGGCCGCAAGGCUGAAACUCAAAGGAAUUGACGGGGGCCCGCACAAGCGGUGGAGCAUGUGGUUUAAUUCGAAGCUACGCGAAGAACCUUACCAGGUCUUGACAUACUAUGCAAAUCUAAGAGAUUAGACGUUCCCUUCGGGGACAUGGAUACAGGUGGUGCAUGGUUGUCGUCAGCUCGUGUCGUGAGAUGUUGGGUUAAGUCCCGCAACGAGCGCAACCCUUAUUAUCAGUUGCCAGCAUUAAGUUGGGCACUCUGGUGAGACUGCCGGUGACAAACCGGAGGAAGGUGGGGAUGACGUCAAAUCAUCAUGCCCCUUAUGACCUGGGCUACACACGUGCUACAAUGGAUGGUACAACGAGUUGCGAACUCGCGAGAGUAAGCUAAUCUCUUAAAGCCAUUCUCAGUUCGGAUUGUAG
rnacentral:rRNA from 2 species